UCUUGGUUUUGGGUUAGUAACUGGAUAUGUGGAUGCAAAACAACAGGAUGCAGUCAACUGAUGGUCAACAGUCAAGAAAGAAUAAGUAAAAGAUUGAAAAGUUGAACUUAGUUAUCAAGGAGCUCGUUAAGGAAAAAGAUGA